AUCUACAAACCAUACCACCCUGAUUCCCACACCCCCCUCAAUCAUCUUAUCUUGGAAGCGAAGCAGGGUUGGGCCUGGUUAAUACUUGGAUGGGAUAUGGCCUGGGAACACCAGGUACUGUAGGCU
rnacentral:rRNA from 1 species